AUUGAACGCUGGCGGCAUGCUUUACACAUGCAAGUCGGAAGAGUGGCGAACGGGUGAGUAACGCCUCGGAAAGUGCCGCAUGGUGGGGGAUAACUAUCCGAAAGGACAGCUAAUACCGCAUAUUAUUGGAGCGGCCCAUGUGUGAUUAGCUUGUUGGCGGGGUAAAGGCUCACCAAGGCGACGAUCCGUAGCGGGUCUGAGAGGAUGAUCCGCCAAACUGGAACUGAGACACGGCCCAGACUCCUACGGGAGGCAGCAGUGGGGAAUAUUGGACAAUGGGCGCAAGCCUGAUGCAGCCAUGCCGCGUGUCUGAAGAAGGCCUUCGGAUUGUAAAGUACUUUCAGCUGGGAGGCGUUACCAACAGAAGAAGCACCGGCUAACUCCGUGCCAGCAGCCGCGGUAAUUC
rnacentral:rRNA from 1 species